UUUGUGUGCUUUACACUUCGAUUGUUGCUGGUUACUUGUGCUUUGUUUUCUCCUCACCUUUUUUUCCUUGUCAUUAUUAAACCCUAGCGUGCCACCUUCCUGGAUCGUGUGCUGGCACCCUUGGGUUACGCCGCUGCCUGAUCGCCCCACUGCGUUGGUAAGUUAAAAAAAGGAAAGUACACAAAAAAAGGCAGUUACAAAACAAAAAAGGAAACAGAAAUAGGAAACACCACCGAAACGCAGGCGACCAGGACUCCUAGCGCGCGCCCGGGACUCCUCCUGCGCGCCAUCCAACCUCCCGCGCGCGAUCCGCUUCCCCCUCCUUCACGUCGUGUCUUCCCUGGACUCCGCGCGCGUUUUCCCCUCCCACACCUUGCUCUACCUGGACAUUACACGCACACCCGCUUUUCUCUCUUCUUUGGUACCAUAUUCUGAGGUUGGCCUUACUCUAGAGAGAGAGAGAGUAUCUUUUUUUACCAGAAUACCCCUACCCUUCCAGAAAAAGUGUGUGUGGUGACUUGUUGUUUGAGAUCCUUUGUUCAUAUUAUCAGUUUUGAGG
rnacentral:lncRNA from 7 species